CGGGCGCAGAGGCAGCGCGGGAUCCCGAGGGCGUUGCCCCCAGAGGCUGGGACGCAGGCACAGCCACUCUUCACACGCGGGCCUCCCCGUGGGCACUGCGGCGGUUUUGGCAAAUUGCUCAUUAAGCAGAGUCGCGCCCAGAUCGGGAGAGAGGGAGGAGGGCGUUCGUCCUGGGGGCCGGUGUGCGGGCCAGGACAGCAGAGCGGAGCCUCCACGCUUCCAGACCCAAGGCGUUGGGCUUCCCAGACCGCGGACACGAGGUCACUUCCACGGGGGAAGACAGGGGCCGGCGCUGGGACGAUGCUUCCCCCGGAGAUCCCGGCUUUCGUCAUAAUCGUAAUUGUUCCCAAACCAGAAAUAGCCGGCUCCUUCUGUGUUCGGCUCUGGCAGGUGUUUAAGGGCCUUUGAAGAACUGUGGGUUCACUGAACGAACAAAUGAACUUGUUUACAUAAAACACGCAGGAGGAAAUUUCCACUGUGCUUCAACA